GCCCCGGCGGCCGGCGAACGCUUCCGGGGCAGCGCGAACUGCGGGGAGCGCCGGGCGGGACGCGGGCAGGGGCGGGGGCCGGCGAUGUGCGCGUCACUUUGCCGGCUUGGGCUGCUCUUAUUUUAACAGUCGCGCUAGGCGCUAAACUGCGUAUCUUUAAACGAUGAGCAGGUGUGUAUAGCCUUCCUUGACUCCGAAGAGAGAUGGGAGCGCUUAUCUUCAAGGCUGAAUGCGGAGAGGCGAUUGUAGUUCUGCAUCCUAACUCUUGCGUUUGAUUGUCGUUUAGAAAUUAAUACAUUAUUCCGAAACAAGUUGUUUCACAAGGCAUUAACUGUGCAUGACUGAAUUGUCUCUUAUUUGAAGGCUUGCAGUGUCAUCAUCAUCAUCAUCAUCAUCAUCAUCAUCAUCAUCAUCAUCAUCAUCAUCAUCAUCAUCAUCAUCAUCAUCAUCAUCAUCAUCAUCAUCUGCUUCCUUGUUACCUCCAACCCCCCUCCCCCGAGAAGGCCUGGUGGACCCUUCUGUAUGUUUUCCUUCAGGAAAAAAAAAAAAAAAGAAAGACUGGAGAAAAGCGUUCAGUCAUAUGUCAUCAUAAGUAUAAAAAACCAGAAAGGUGGAUGUCCCUUAGAGAAACACUGAAUGUGUUCUUACCUGCUGAAGUUUGCAGGUUUUUGCUGGAUUUGCUCAUAUUCCUCUGGUUGAAAGUUAUGUAGAGCACAUACCCUGGAAUUAGGAGCCAGGAUUUCCUGCUUUCCCAAUUCCCGUGAUUUUCUUUUUUUUUUUUCAUUAUUCUGGACUGGAGAUUUUGUUACAACACUAAUUUCUGUAGAUAAUCUGAGGAUCUCUUGGUGCUCCCACAUGUCAAACCAUGUAAUUGCAGAAUUCUGAACUAUGCUGGCUAAGCAAAGCUCUUUACUCAUAGAAUAUAGUAUGGAGAGAAAGAAAAUGCAGUUAUGGCAAAGAAGAGUAUUCACAUAGGAAUCUUUCUCCAAGAAACUGUAGUUGACUGGGCUGCAGAUUUGAAGACAAUAGCAUCCUGAGACUCUCUCUGGUUUUUUUUCUUCUGAGUUACCUUGUGGAUCUCCUAAGAUGAGUAAAUUAAGGGUCAAACGCUGGUACAGUUCUAUUAGACACCUUUUUAAUAAUGAAACUGUAGCUGCGGGAAAUGCUUGGACGUGAAGACAGGGACGAUUACAGGAUCGCCACUGGUACGGAUUCCAGAGCCUGCCCCAGGACAGUAGGGGGCGAAGUAGCACCUUAUCCCUCGUGCUUUUAGGGACGUGACCCACCUUGGAUUGCAACUCCGGCUGCAGAUGGAUAGAUGGAUUCCCUCUCUGUGGCUGUGCCAAGAAAAUGCCAUGGCUGACUCCUCUUGAUGAGAAUGCUGUCUAGAAUACUGCCUGUGAAUUUACAGUACGGAUUGAUGUUUGAAUUCUACUCCUAAAAAAACCACGGAGACAUAAAAGCAUACUGCUCAGGGCCUUUCCUAAUAUUAAAAUCACUUAUUGCAUAUUUUUUUGCACCAACUAGCUUUGAUUGUAGGCUUGUUUACUAAUGGAUUGUUAUAGUUUCAUACUACUAUUUUUUUUUGGUGAAUUUUCCACACCAACAGUCUUUGCUAGGAUAAGAUAAGCGUCAGGUUUGAUUGUUUGUCUAGCUCGGGCCUUGAUGACUGUCCUAUUGAAACACACACCCGCUGGAAUGAUUAAGGGAAACCCCAUCUCCCUGUAGCCACGAUGGAGAGGUCGGCCCACGUGGGGGGUGGGGUGGGGAGCAUGAGGCAAUGAGCCUUUUAGACUGGAGCGGUGGGGGGGGCGUGGAAUUUAUUCCACUUCUGCCCUGCUUCUUUUGUGGGGUGAAGGGAGACCACAGUUUUCCACCGUUUCCAUCCUCUGCUGGUUCCAUUGCCUUCGGCACUCAGUGAUUGCUUUGUUGAGACUCCCAGAAGCUUGGGAGGGGUCCUGGCUCACCCCCCAACCACACGUGCCCUGUGGACUGCCACUGAUGUGAACUGUAUGUUUGUUUGGGAAUAAUUAGUUAGCGGUGAUGGAUCCCAUACUGAGUGGGCCUGAGUCCACCCCUGUUCCCUGGUGGUCUUUACUUGAGGUAACAAUUGAAUUUGGUGCAUAUUAUUGAGCUGAGUCGUUAGGAAGGAAAAGGACCCUGUGUAAAAAAGCCACACGUGGUUGUGGAGGGUUGACCCAGAAACAGUGAGCUCACAGCAGCCACACUAAUGUGAGACGGUGAGAAAGGUGCAAGGAAUGACAAAGGGAUGGGCUGUGGUAUGCAUUUUAGGGCUGUUGUGGUACUGCUGCACAUUGUAGAACCAUCCAGUGGGGAAAAAAAUCCCUGCAAGUGCUCAUUCACCCUCAUAGUGAAAACGUGUCACCUGAUGUUUCUGGGGAAUUGCCUGUGUUUCAGUUUGUGCCCAUCGCCUCUGGCCUUGUCACUGGGCACAUCUGUAAAGAGUCUGGCUCCAUCUGCUGUGUGCCUUCCCUUCAGGUGUUUGUACACAUUAAUAAGAUCUGAGGCUUUGCUUCUCCGGGGUGAACAGUCAUAGCUCUCUCAGACUCUCCUCAGAGGAGAAAUGCACUGGUUCCCUCAUCAUCUCUGCAUCCCUUUCGUGGGCUCUCUCUGGUAUGUCCAUGUUUCCUGUGUACUGGGGAGCCCAGAACUGGACUCAGCACUCCAGUGUGGCCUCAGCCGUGCAGAGCAGGAGCAGGAUCACAUCCCUCCACCUGCUGGCAACUUUCCUCCUAAUGCAGCCCAGGAUGUGCUGGCACCUUUUGUUUUGCCACAAGGGCACACUAGUAGCAUAAUGAGCAUUUAUCUCUAUGUGUGUCACAGAACUCUGAACUGGACCUCUGAAAUGAUAAUUUCUUGCAGAAAUUAUGAAUGCAUGAUGAACUGAAAGAGCUGCUUCAAUAAAAUGUCUGAAGGACUUCAUAUUUAGAAUUUUCCCAUGAUCAACCCAGGCCUUUAACCAAUGACAUAAAGACAUACUUAUGGAGGGGACCUGAUGUGGAUGAGAAUGGUAUACGGCCUGAAAAUAUGUAUGACACUUUAUGAUACAAAUACAAUUAAAAUUUAAUCUAUUUUAAGCUAAAAGUUUUCUGUAUAUAUCAGUUGGGAAGAGGGAUUGCUGAAAAACAAAUAAAUAUUUAAAUUGUAAGUGAGAUAAUGCAUGCUGAAUAUGGCACUUCUUAAUUUAUUUUGCUGAUUUUUGUACCCUUUUUGGCUGUGGAAGGCAGGAGAAGCAAUAUUUUGUGACAGAUACAUAUUAUUAAGACUUCAGCAACAACCUUCCCUGAAUGUAGGAAAUAAUGUCAACCUCUAACAAAUUCCUGUAAAACGGUUUAAUUCAUAUCAGUUUUCGGUCAUUAAUUGUGUACUAUUUAAACAUUUGUUCAUACCAGAUGGAAUGCAGUAAAUCUAGAAUCUCAGACUAAUAGUGAUUGAUUUUCAGGAAACUGACAGAAUGUGUUUUAGACUCCGAGCCAUUUUCUCAGGCUGUCAUCCAGAUCACUUUAAAAUAUUCAUUAUUUUAAUUUUUAUUAUGUCAGUUAAAGAACACUACACAUCUGUAUGGUGUAAGAUAUCCAUAGCAGAAGAAAAAGUUUGGGAAGAUUGUAACAAACUUCAGCCAAUGUAGGUCAGAACUGCUUUUUAUUCUGUGCUUGGUUGUUAGUAGGUUAAGUUUCCCUUCCAGGACUGGGAAAAAAGCAGUAAAAAGAUGUUGACUUCCAAACUUAGAUACUUAUGCUCGAAAAGCACAGAUAAAAUGAAGAAAGGCUGUUUAAAUGAAAAGUCAUAUGCUAGAGGACGUAAUGUAGCUUGCAGAGGGAGAGCCUUUGUAUGUAUUUUACUCCUUUUUUCUGUCCUUCUUUGAUCUUUUGGUGCAGAUAUAGCUGACCUUACCCAAACUUCACAACUGGAUGUCAGCAAUCAGAUGUUCUGGUGCAACUCUUGGCAGAGACGACUUAGUAGUACUCUCUAUUGCAUUUUAGAAAUAGAGGUGUGGUUUAUUUUUUUUCUUUGCCUUGAAACCAUUGUCAUUUAGGUGAAGACCUGUCAGCAUGCUAUUUACAAAUAUAUUGAUUGCACAGUAUAAUAUUAAGUAUGACUCUAUACACAUAGUGGCAAAAUCUUCUGCUAGUCUAGAUGUAAAAGAACAUGUAAUAUAUACUACUGUGACAGUAUAAAAAUAUAUCUAUAAUAAAAAUAAUAUAUAGCCAUAAGAAAAAUAAAUGUUACUGUCUGUAA